AACGAACGUUAGCGGCGCGCCUAACACAUGCAAGUCGCACGAGAAAGGGCUUCGGCCCCGGUACAGUGGCGCACGGGUGAGUAACACGUAGGCAAUCUCCCCUCGAGUGGUGGAUAACCU
rnacentral:rRNA from 1 species